rnacentral:rRNA from 1 species
CCUACGGGAGGCUGCAGUGGGGAAUCUUGGACAAUGGGCGCAAGCCUGAUCCAGCCAUGCCGCGUGAGUGACGAAGGCCUUAGGGUUGUAAAGCUCUUUUGCCGGGGACGAUAAUGACGGUACCCGGAGAAUAAGUCCCGGCUAACUUCGUGCCAGCAGCCGCGGUAAUACGAAGGGGACUAGCGUUGUUCGGAAUUACUGGGCGUAAAGCGCACGUAGGCGGCUUAUUAAGUCAGGGGUGAAAUCCCGGGGCUCAACCUCGGAACUGCCUUUGAUACUGGUAAUCUAGAGUCCGAUAGAGGUGGGUGGAAUUCCUAGUGUAGAGGUGAAAUUCGUAGAUAUUAGGAAGAACACCAGUGGCGAAGGCGGCCCACUGGAUCGGUACUGACGCUGAGGUGCGAAAGCGUGGGGAGCAAACAGGAUUAGAUACCCUAGUAGUC